AUUGAACGCUGGCGGCGGGCCUAACACAUGCAAGUCGAACGAGUGGCGGACGGGUGAGUAAUGUCUUGUAAACCCCCCCAUGGUGGGGGAUAACUACUGGACACGGUAGCCAAUCCCGCCUACCAUCGGAUUUGCCCAGCUGGGAGUCGCUGGUAGGUGGGGUAACGGCUCACCUAGGCGACGAUCCCUAGCUGGUCUGAGAGGAGGACCCGCCACACGGGAAAUGGGACACGGUCCAGAAUCCUACGGGAGGCAGAAGUGGGGAAAAUUGCACAAUGGGGGAAAGCCUGAUGCAGCCAGUGCGCGGGGAUGAAAAAGGCCUUGGGGUUGUAAAGUACGUUCAGCGAGGAGGCGGUACUGGCAGAAGAAGCAACGGCUAACUCCGUGCCAGCAGCCGCGGUAAUUC
rnacentral:rRNA from 1 species